rnacentral:rRNA from 1 species
UACGAACUGUGCAAACGUUAUUCGGAAUCACUGGGCUUAAAGGGUGCGUAGGCGGCUGUCUAAGUAGGGUGUGAAAGCCCCCGGCUCAACCGGGGAAUUGCGCCCUAAACUGGACGGCUGGAGUGAGGCAGGGGUGUGUGGAACUUCCGGUGGAGCGGUGAAAUGCGUAGAGAUCGGGAGGAACAUCAGUUGCGAAGGCGGCUCUCUGGACCAGCACUGACACUGAGGCACGAAGGCCAGGGGAGCAAACGGG